AUUGAACGCUGGCGGCAGGCCUAACACAUGCAAGUCGAGCGGUAGAGAGAGCUUGCUCUCUUGAGAGCGGCGGACGGGUGAGUAAUGCCUAGGAAUCUGCCUGGUAGUGGGGGAUAACGCUCGGAAACGGACGCUAAUACCGCAUACGUCCUACGGGAGAAAGCAGGGGACCUUCGGGCCUUGCGCUAUCAGAUGAGCCU
rnacentral:rRNA from 1 species